AACGCGAAGAACCUUACCUACCCUUGACAUGUCAGGAAAUUAGCAGAGAUGCGGAUGUGCCGAAAGGAACCUGAACACAGGUGCUGCAUGGCUGUCGUCAGCUCGUGUUGUGAGAUGUUGGGUUAAGUCCCGUAACGAGCGCAACCCUUAUCCUUAGUUACCAACACGUAGAGGUGGGGACUCUAAGGAGACUGCUGGUGAUGAACCGGAGGAAGGCGGGGACGACGUCAAGUCAUCAUGGCCUUUAUGGGUAGGGCUACACACGUGCUACAAUGGGCAGUACAGAGGGUAGCGAACCCGUGAGGGGGAGCCAAUCCCAGAAAGCUGCUCGUAGUCCGGAUUGGAGUCUGCAACUCGACUUCAUGAAGUCGGAAUCGCUAGUAAUCGCGAAUCAGAAUGUCGCGGUGAAUACGUUCCCGGGCCUUGUACACACCGGCUAC
rnacentral:rRNA from 1 species